AUCGAACGCUGGCGGCAGGCCUAACACAUGCAAGUCGAGCGGAGCGGCUGACGGGUGGGUAAUGACUGGGAAGCUGCCUGGUCGUGGGGGAUGACGUCCUGCAACGGGCGGUAAUUCCUCACACUUUCAGUUGCGCCUAGGUCGGAUUAGCUAGUUGGUGGGGUAAGGGCCUACCAAGGCGACGAGCCGUAACUGGUCUGAGAGGAUGAUCAGUCACACUGGAACUGAGACACGGUCCAGACUCCUACGGGAGGCAGCAGUGGGGAAUAUUGGACAAUGGGCGAAAGCCUGAUCCAGCCAUGCCGCGUGUGUGAAGAAGGUCUUCGGGUUGUAAAGUACUUUCAGUUGGGAGGCGUUACCAACAGAAGAAGCACCGGCUAACUUCGUGCCAGCCGCCGCGGUAAUAC
rnacentral:rRNA from 1 species